rnacentral:rRNA from 1 species
ACUCAAAGGAAUAGACGGGGGCCCGCACAAGCAGCGGAGCAUGUGGUUUAAUUCGAAGCAACGCGAAGAACCUUACCAGGUCUUGACAUCCAAUUAAAACUAUAGAGAUAUAGCGUGCCUUCGGGCGAAUUGAGACAGGUGGUGCAUGGUUGUCGUCAGCUCGUGUCGUGAGAUGUUGGGUUAAGUCCCGCAACGAGCGCAACCCUUGCGAUUGGUUGCUAACAGGUAAAGCUGAGAACUCCAAUAGGACUGCCGGGGACAACUCGGAGGAAGGUGGGGACGACGUCAAAUCAUCAUGCCCCUUAUGACCUGGGCUACACACGUGCUACAAUGGCCACUACAAAGAGAUGCGAAGUCGUGAGGCGGAGCGGAUCUUCUAAAAGUGGUCUCAGUUCGGAUUGUGGGCUGCAACCCGCCCACAUGAAGUCGGAGUUGCUAGUAAUCGCGAAUCAGCAUGUCGCGGUGAAUGCGUUCCCGGGCCUUGUACACACCGCCCGU